GGCUCAGAACGAACGCUGGCGGUCUGCUUAACACAUGCAAGUCGAACGGACGUCUUCGGACGUUAGUGGCGGACGGGUGAGUAACGCGUGAGAAUCUACCCUCAGGAUGGGGACAACAGUUGGAAACGACUGCUAAUACCCGAUGUGCCGAGAGGUGAAAGUAAUUCGCCUGAGGAUGAGCUCGCGUCAGAUUAGCUAGUUGGUGAGGUAACGGCUCACCAAGGCGACGAUCUGUAGCUGGUCUGAGAGGAUGAUCAGCCACACUGGGACUGAGACACGGCCCAGACUCCUACGGGAGGCAGCAGUGGGGAAUUUUCCGCAAUGGGCGAAAGCCUGACGGAGCAAGACCGCGUGGGGGAUGAAGGUUUGUGGAUUGUAAACCCCUUUUGUCAGGGAAGAACACAAUGACGGUACCUGACGAAUAAGCCUCGGCUAACUCCGUGCCAGCAGCCGCGGUAAUACGGAGGAGGCAAGCGUUAUCCGGAAUUAUUGGGCGUAAAGCGUCCGUAGGUGGUUUAGAAAGUCUGCUGUCAAAGGCUGGGGCUUAACUCCAGACAGGCAGUGGAAACUACUAGACUAGAGUGCGGUAGGGGCAGAGGGAAUUCCCAGUGUAGCGGUGAAAUGCGUAGAUAUUGGGAAGAACACCGGUGGCGAAAGCGCUCUGCUGGACCUGUACUGACACUGAGGGACGAAAGCUAGGGGAGCGAAAGGGAUUAGAUACCCCUGUAGUCCUAGCCGUAAACGAUGGAAACUAGGUGUUGCCCGUAUCGACCCGGGCAGUGCCGUAGCUAACGCGUUAAGUUUCCCGCCUGGGGAGUACGCUCGCAAGAGUGAAACUCAA
rnacentral:rRNA from 1 species